GCCGGGCACUCUAGUGAAACUGCCUCGGAUAASGAGGAGGGGGGUGGGGAUGACSUCAAGUCCUCRUGGCCUUUAUGUCSRGGGCUACACACGUGCUACAAUGGUCGGUACAAACCGUCGCAAACCCGKGRGGGGGAGCUAAUCGGAAAAAGCCGGCCUCAGUUCGGAUUGGAGUCUGCAACUCKACUCCAUGAAGCUGGAAUCGCUAGUAAUCGCGGAUC
rnacentral:rRNA from 1 species